rnacentral:tRNA from 1 species
CAAAUUAGAUCUUGUUAAAGAAUUUUAUUUACAUUAAAAAGAAAAUUGAUUAAUCAAUUUAAUUUGA